rnacentral:rRNA from 1 species
UACGUAGGGUGCGAGCGUUGUCCGGAAUUAUUGGGCGUAAAGAGCUUGUAGGCGGUUUGUCGCGUCUGCCGUGAAAAUUCGAGGCUCAACCUCGAACUUGCGGUGGGUACGGGCAGACUAGAGUGUGGUAGGGGAGACUGGAAUUCCUGGCGUAGCGGUGGAAUGCGCAGAUAUCAGGAGGAACACCGAUGGCGAAGGCAGGUCUCUGGGCCGCAACUGACGCUGAGGAGCGAAAGCAUGGGGAGCGAACAGG